ACUACCUCAACACCAGAGUGUUUGCCAGUUUUGGGAAGCCUUCCUCUAUACCUGGAUACCUGGACCUUCUCCCCCUGGAAGGAGAAACUGAUUUCACACUGAGCAGGGGAAACCUCCACGUGAUCCGUUCAAGUUCACAUCGGAAAUCUGAGUGACAGUCUGCUCCAUUACUCCUCUGGGUCCAACGCUUGUCUACCUGUCCGCUCUCCAACGGGUUCCGUAUUCUCUGGAUAAUCCCACACAGACUGAAUUCAAGGGUUGACAAGAGCCCCCAAAAAUUUCCGGUUCACCAGUUCACUGAGUUCCAGACUCAACGCCAGUCCUCAUUACAACAAAUAAACCUGUUGAACUUU